GAUGAAGAACGUAGCGAAAUGCGAUAAGUAAUGUGAAUUGCAGAAUUCAGUGAAUCAUCGAAUCUUUGAACGCACAUUGCGCCCGCCAGUAUUCUGGCGGGCAUGCCUGUUCGAGCGUCAUUUCAACCAUCAAGCCCCCGGCUUGUGUUGGAGACCUGCGGCUGCCGCAGGCCCUGAAAACCAGUGGCGGGCUCGCUAGUCACUCCGAGCGUAGUAAUACAUCUCGCUCAGGGCGUGCUGCGGGUUCCGGCCGUUAAAAAGCCUUAUUUACCCAAGGUUGACCUCGGAUCAGGUAGGAAGACCCGCUGAACUUAAGCAUAUCAAUAAGCGGAGGA
rnacentral:misc_RNA from 1 species